rnacentral:lncRNA from 1 species
GCGGCGCUCCUCGCCUAGCAAGAAAAACAAUUAUGUUUUGGCGUGGCGAGACUGAGUUCUAUUGCGGUAGUCAUCGCGGAAUAUGCUUCAGCCUGAAAUAUUAGUUGGCGGCUUCUAUCUCGCCGAGUGAUAAUUAUUGAAUUUUCAUGUUUAUUUUCCACAUUUGUUCGUUGUCCUGCACUAUGAUUAACAUCAAUGAAUCAAAAUAGAAAUCAUAGAUGAACAAACUAAAUUUCCUAAUCAAGACUUCAAAAGAAUAAAUUUCAAAGAAGGUGACAUUAUAGCAAGUGGUUCAAGUAUCUGCACUAAAAACAGGUCGGCUAAUAAGUCUCAUAUACUCCAUUAGUUUUGCAUGUAUGACUAAUUUUAAUUAAUCGAUAAACGAAACAAAUAAAAAUGUGAUAUGUAGAGAAAGCAUGUUCAUGUUAGUUAUAAGUAUAAAGCAAAAUACUUUGUAAGAAGAAUACUGAUUUAGUUCUUAACCAAAAAAAUGUUAGAAACAUAUGAAAAUUUUUAUACUUUCUCUGUUGGUUAUAUUUGUCUUGGUCAUUUAAUUUAAAGUGUUGACUUACUUAUCAGAGUUGAAGUUCUUUCGUGCAAAAGUUCUUUCAUGUUGGAAAUGUUUACAUGAGGUCUUAAGAAAGUUAGUUCAUACAAUCACACAAAAUAUUUUAUCGUGUGCUAGAAUAAUUUAUAGCAGGAUUAAAGAUAUCACAUAUCAAAUAAGCACAAACAGUUUUGAACCAAACAGAACAGCGAUUCUUGAAUUUAGAUCUUGUAAAGUGGCACACCAAAAGAAAAAACAAGUCUCAUUCUAGUGAUUAUUAACCUUGAAAUACAUAAGUACCGAUGUUCUUUUCUUUUACUCAUUGAUGAGAUUAUUAUUAUUAUUAUUAUUAUUAUUAUUAUUAUAGAUGGCGAUAGAAUGUGAUUCAUGAACUAUAAAUUACCUAUGUUAAUAAAACUGAUAACAUAUAUAUACACAAAUAAUAUAUUAUCACAAUAGAGAGAGCGAGAACUAUAUGAUUAAAUGGUAAGUUAGAGGAAAAGAACAUUAACACCUGGAUCGGGAGUCGCCUAGCAACAAAAACGAUUCUACGGCGAGAUGACGAUGUUGGACGGUAAGUUGCUGUGGCGCCAGUUCGGCGAGUUGGAUUCACAACAACUAUGGCGACAUCAUUUCAAUUCAAACGUGACGGAUCCGAUCUUCUAAGUUGUAUUUGACCUUUUCUUAUUCCAAGCGUUUCAUUCGUAUUCUCCAUGUCGUUUGUUGGUCCUUUCAAAUUGACUUCUAAGUUGAGAACCCCAUGUGCUCGCAGGAGUGAUUUCCUCAUAAACCUGGCGACAAUGUGGUGUUUCCUAUACGAAUCAAACUAUGACACGGCGAUUCCUUCACAAAUCCGACGGCGGCUCGACGGUUCCUUCACAAGUCUGACUGCGGCGAUGCCAUUUUCUCCACAACCG